UACGUAGGGUGCGAGCGUUAAUCGGAAUUACUGGGCGUAAAGCGUGCGUAGGCGGUGAGUUAUGUCCGAUGUGAAAGCCCCGGGCUCAACCUGGGAACUGCGUUUGAGACUGUAAGGCUAGAGUACGGUAGAGGGGGGUGGAAUUCCGCGUGUAGCAGUGAAAUGCGUAGAUAUGCGGAGGAACACCGAUGGCGAAGGCAGCCCCCUGGACCGGUACUGACGCUGAGGCACGAAAGCGUGGGGAGCAAACAGG
rnacentral:rRNA from 1 species